AGCCCUUCCGUGAGAGCCAGACGCUCGCACACGUCAUCUUCACCAAACCCCAUGGAACUGCCCAGUGUUCACUGGGAGGGCCGAGGGUCAUGGAGGAGAGUUAUAUUGUGUUCUGAAAAGUUCAGUUCGUCCCUAAAGUCCACUUACCAGAUCUCAGGAAGACACACUGGGUCUGAAGACUGCAAUCAUCGAACCUUAGAGGGGAGAGGCAGGGGGAGGCAGAGAAGAGUUCCAUCGUGUGGCCACCCACUUCUGGGUCUGUCUGGAUAUCUUACUCAUCCCUCCUGCCAGUGACAUCCAAUGACUGGAGCCAUUUCUACCAGGAAGGGCAAGUCUCGGAGUGGGACCCUCGGUCGUAGGGGCUCAGUUUGUAGCAAGAAGAGACCAUGUGGAGAGUACUGCCCACCAGGGCCUUGCAGCACUUUUGAAACUUACAUUAAAAAUUUUAGUAUACAGAAUAA